AGACACACCCAGCGGCAGCCGUUGACUCCCUCCACCCUUGCUUCCCUCUCAACCAUCUCACCUCCAUCUGUCCAGUGGAGCCAGAUGUCCCACCUUCUUGGGAGAAAUUAAUUGAGGCUCAUUUCCAGGACAGAGGGGCAAGCUGGGUCUGAGGAGCCAAGCAGAAAAACUUCCCAAAAUCACUGGGUGGGGAGGGGUCAGAGACUUACUGCUGCCCCAGCUGUUCUGACUCUGCCCCCAGCUUUUGGCCCCACCCUUUUAAAGCACCUUCAGAGGUUCCCAAUGGUGACAGUAAACAAGUCUCCACUGUCCUGGCCAUCUCUGCUGUGUUCACCCUACUCCUGAUCUUUCUGGCUGCUCAGGGACUGACAGCCAAGAUGUGAGGCUGUGAUGAGCAGGAACAGGGAGGCCUGGAGCCCCCAGGCAUUGUCAUCACUUCCCUGAUCUGCCUAAAUUCUGCCCAGCAGUCCGUGAAAAUGGUUUGCUGAUGACAUAUGUAAGGACUUUAACUCCCCUCAAGCAAUCUGCUCAUCUCAAAGGGUAAAACAUUGGCUCACUCCUAAUGCAAUAAAUGACACAUAAGGUCACAAUUCAAUGGUACCAGAUUUGCAAUGAUCAAGAGGCGUCCUGUGAAUGCAGUUUGCAAAGGACUUAGGCACACAGCAUCUCCUUUGUUCUCACCACAAGGCUGCCGGGUGUGCAGAUGUGAGGAUUAUUUCAAUGGUGAAGAAGCAUCCUGAGAGGUUACGUAGUUCAACUAAUGUCACACCAAGAGGAGGAGAGCAUCUGGGCAUUUGGACAUGGAAGGUGUGGGGCACAAGCAUCUCAUGGCCAGGGAACGGGGGAGGAGCAUCUCAGAGCUGCAUCAGAGUUCAUGCUGGUCCUAGGACAAGAGUCAAGCACACCCUGCUUUCACCAGCUGCUGGUAGCUUUCACUCAGGUUCCCACUUUGGCCACUUAAUUCUCUGAACCUCUACUACAUGAAGAGACUAGAACUUGAUUAGAAAAAAAUGGAAUGACUCUUAAUGAGCAAGUGGAUGAAUAAAUUGUGGUGAAAUCUAAGGGCACUCUUACCUAAACAGA
rnacentral:lncRNA from 10 species